GAUGAACGCUAGCGGGAGGCCUAAUACAUGCAAGUCGAACGGUAACAGGGUAGCAAUACCGCUGACGAGUGGCGUACGGGUGCGUAACACGUACACAACCUGCCCUAUACUGGAGGAUAGCCUCGGGAAACUGAGAUUAACCCUCCAUAACGUUGCGAAAAAGGCAUCUUUUUUGCAACUAAAAACUACCGGUGGUAUAGGAUGAGUGUGCGUCCGAUUAGUAGUUGUGAGGUAACGGCUCACCAAGCCAACGAUCGGUAGCUGGUCUGAGAGGAUGAUCAGCCACACGGGCACUGAGACACGGGCCCGACUCCUACGGGA
rnacentral:rRNA from 1 species